rnacentral:rRNA from 1 species
UGGGGAAUAUUGCACAAUGGGGGAAACCCUGCUGCAGCGACGCCGCGUGAGCGAAGAAGGUUUUCGAAUCGUAAAGCUCUGUCCUAUGGGAAGAUAAUGACGGUACCAUAGGAGGAAGCCCCGGCUAACUACGUGCCAGCAGCCGCGGUAAUACGUAGGGGGCAAGCGUUGUCCGGAAUCACUGGGCGUAAAGGGUUCGCAGGCGGAAAUGCAAGUCAGUUGUGAAAGGCAGAGGCUCAACCUCUGUAAGCAAUUGAAACUGUAUUUCUUGAGAUGUGGAGAGGCAAGUGGAAUUCCUAGUGUAGCGGUGAAAUGCGUAGAUAUUAGGAAGAAUACCGGUGGCGAAGGCGACUUGCUGGACACAAACUGACGCUGAGGAACGAAAGCGUGGGUAGCAAACAGG